GUCGAGGGGCAGCGGGGGAUGCGUUCGCGCAUUCUGCCGGCGACCGGCGCACGGGUGAGUAACACGUAUGCAACCUGCCCCGUCCAGGGGGAUAAUCGGCGGAAACGCCGUCUAAUACCGCGUAUAUCGAUUCCGGGCAUCCGGGAUUGAAGAAAGGGCCUUAGGGUCCGGGACGGGAUGGGCAUGCGGCGCAUUAGGAAGUUGGCGGUGUAACGGACCACCAAUCCGUCGAUGCGUAGGGGUUCUGAGAGGAAGGCCCCCCACACUGGUACUGAGACACGGACCAGACUCCUACGGGAGGCAGCAGUGAGGAAUAUUGGUCAAUGGGCGGGAGCCUGAACCAGCCAAGUCGCGUGAGGGAAGAAGGUACUGAGUAUUGUAAACCUCUUUUGCCAGGGGACAAAGGCGGCCACGGGUGGCCGUAAGAGGGUACCUGGAGAAAAAGCAUCGGCUAACUCCGUGCCAGCAGCCGCGGUAAUACGGAGGAUGCGAGCGUUAUCCGGAUUUAUUGGGUUUAAAGGGUGCGCAGGCGGAAUGUCAAGUCAGCGGUAAAAUUUCGGGGCUCAACCCCGUCGUGCCGUUGAAACUGGCGUUCUUGAGUGAGCGAGAAGUAUGCGGAAUGCGUGGUGUAGCGGUGAAAUGCAUAGAUAUCACGCAGAACUCCGAUUGCGAAGGCAGCAUACCGGCGCUCAACUGACGCUCAUGCACGAAAGCGUGGGUAUCGAACAGGAUUAGAUACCCUGGUAGUCCACGCAGUAAACGAUGAAUACUAACUGUCCGGGCAGAAUGAUGCCUGGGUGGUACAGCGAAAGCGUUAAGUAUUCCACCUGGGGAGU
rnacentral:rRNA from 1 species